GGGUGAGUACAACAUAGGAAAUCUGCCUUAGGGUGGGGGACAACAGAGGGAAACUUCUGCUAAUACCCCAUAUGAGCUUGGUUGAAAUACCAAUCUUGAAAGUUCCGGCGCCCUAAGAUGAGCCUGUGCCUGAUUAGCUAGUUGGUGGUGUAAUGGACUACCAAGGCAACGAUCAGUAGCUGGUUUGAGAGGAUGAUCAGCCACAAUGGGACUGAGACACGGCCCAUACUCCUACGGGAGGCAGCAGUAGGGAAUUUUGCGCAAUGGGCGAAAGCCUGACGCAGCAACACCGCGUGAAUGUUAAGCCCUUCGGGGUGUAAAGUUCUGUCAAUAGGGACGAAUUUUGACUGUACCUAUAAAGGAAGCACCGGCUAACUCCGUGCCAGCAGCCGCGGUAAUACGGGGGGUGCAAGCGUUGUCCGGAAUCAUUGGGCGUAAAGCGUUCGUAGGCGGCAAGGUAAGUCUGAUGUUAAAGCCCGGGGCUCAACUCCGGUUCGGCAUUGGAUACUAUCUAGCUAGAAUGUGGUAGAGGUAAAGGGAAUUCCUGGUGUAGCGGUGAAAUGCGUAGAUAUCAGGAGGAACAUCGGUGGCGAAAGCGCUUUACUGGACCAUUAUUGACGCUGAGGAACGAAAGCCAGGGGAGCAAAUGGGAUUAGAUACCCCAGUAGUCCUGGCCGUAAACGAU
rnacentral:rRNA from 1 species